rnacentral:rRNA from 1 species
UUUAGAGGAAGUAAAAGUCGUAACAAGGUUUCCGUAGGUGAACCUGCGGAAGGAUCAUUACAGUAGUCAUCCGGGUUGCCGCAAGGCCUCCCGGGUAACCUACCACCCUUUGUUUAUUACACUUUGUUGCUUUGGCAGGCCUGCCCUCGGGCUGCUGGCUCCGGCCGGCGAGCGUCUGCCAGAGGACCUAAACUCUGUUUGUCUAUAAUGUCUGAGUACUAUAUAAUAGUUAAAACUUUCAACAACGGAUCUCUUGGUUCUGGCAUCGAUGAAGAACGCAGCGAAAUGCGAUAAGUAAUGUGAAUUGCAGAAUUCAGUGAAUCAUCGAAUCUUUGAACGCACAUUGCGCCCCCUGGUAUUCCGGGGGGCAUGCCUGUCCGAGCGUCAUUACAACCCUCAAGCUCAGCUUGGUGUUGGGCCCCGCCGCCCCGGCGGGCCCUAAAGUCAGUGGCGGUGCCGUCCGGCUCCGAGCGUAGUAAUUCUUCUCGCUCUGGAGGUCCGGUCGUGUGCUUGCCAGCAACCCCCAAUUUUUUUCAGGUUGACCUCGGAUCAGGUAGGGAUACCCGCUGAACUUAAGCAUAUCAU